CAUGAUCAUAAAAAGCCGUGAUGAUUAAAAAAAUGGCACCCAAAAUCGAACAUGCCCCUAUAAAAGAAGAGUAUUUUUCUAGAAGAUGAAAGAAAAUUGGUUUGGACAACGCCACAGUCGCUCACAAUCCUUCUCUGGACACUGCUAGUAUAUACUGUAGUACUAAAAAAAGUCAGUCAUUCCACCGCCCCUGUCUUUUCUCCUCCCUUCCCUAAUCUUCCAUGGUCGCCAGAUCCCUCCCUCCACAGCCGGCGCUCCCUGUAAGGCCGCCCGUCCCCUUCGUCACCCACGCCGACGGACGUGCAUGCCCCUGCUCCACCUCACUCCUCCUUCGAAUUCGGCCGUUGAAGUGCUCGAGGAGGCGGUCGAGCUUGGCAUGCUCGCCGGUGACGCCGGCCCCUUACCGCACACGCCGGCUGCCGACCUCUCAGGCGGGCGGCGCACGCCGACCCCAGGAAGAGAGAAGUUCCCGUCCCCACGGAGAAGCUGUCCACGGAUCCAAAUCUAGACGGGGGAAGGCGGAGUGGUGUUGUGCUGGUGGCCACCGGGAGCUUCAACCUUCCCACCUACAUGCACAGGCAUGUUUGAGGUUGCGAAGGAUGAGUUGCAGCAGCGAGGGUAGUCGGUGCUGGGAUGUUACUGCCUUAAUGGAUACAUGUCCCUGGUGAACCGAUGCUAACAAGAAGAAGGCAAUGCAGAAAGGUCAUCAGCGUACCUUGACCAUUCUCUCAAGAGUUAAGAAUUCUUCUGUGCAAGGACGGCUUAGCUGAUCAAGGAAGUGUCAAGGUAAUGCUGCUAUGUGGUUCUGACCUGCUCGAGUCAUUCAGCAAGCCAGGGGUAUGGAUUCCAGAUCAGUCAAAGGAAGAAGUCGAACCUGAAGAAGUCCUCGGAAGAAUCACAGCUGCGUGUGCCCGGCUGGUUCAGGGGACGCGAUAGGCGCUGGCGCCCUGCCCCGGCGGGCGUGUGCGCGGCGGCGUGGGUGCCAGUGCAGGGUGGGCCCGGCGGUGCGGGUGCCGGGGCAGGCUCUCUCCUGGGCACUGGCGAUCUUGCAGGAUGGAUGCCACGCUUCGAGCGGCAACAAUCGGCGAUGGCGAUCGUGCAUGGAGGUGACGGGACGGUGCAGUGCGGCGUGGUCGCCGUGCAGGCAGGAGACGAUAUUGGUGGGCGGCGUAUGUGCCAGGCGGCGAGGUCAAGGUCAAGGGCGUGAAGUUCCCUUAGCUUGCGAUCUGAUUUUCCGUGAUUGUAGGGGACACUGGGCUGGUUGUUAGCUUGCGAUCUGAUUUUCCGUGAUUGUAGGGGACGCUGGGCUGGUUGUUAGUUUGCGAUCUGAUUCCGUGAUUGUAGGGGACGCGCGGGGCUGGUUGUUCGACUACUACUCUCCUGGUGAAGUAUGGUCAGUCAUUGGUAAAUGCUAAGUGCACACCUUAGAGGUAUUGGAUUAAUGAUGGCUGUUAGAUUGAGACUUGUUGGCCUAAUCGUGUGGUACUGAUUGGCUUGGGUUUAUUGUGGGACUAAUUGCAGGGUGCGCGUAAGAAAGUUCUUGUUUGAUUGUUUAA